GAUGAAGAACGUAGCAAAAUGCGAUACUUGGUGUGAAUUGCAGAAUCCCGUGAACCAUCGAGUUUUUGAACGCAAGUUGCGCCCGAAGCCUUUUGGCCGAGGGCACGUCUGCCUGGGCGUCACGCAUCGCGUCGCCCCCUCCCACAAUUCUCCGCAAAGGGAAUUUGUGUUUUGGGGGCGGAUAUUGGUCUCCCGUGCUCAUGGCGUGGUUGGCCGAAAUAGGAGUCCCUUCGAUGGACGCACGAACUAGUGGUGGUCGUAAAAACCUCUUUUGUUUCGUGCCGUUAGUCGCGAGGGAAACUCUUAGAAAACCCCAGCGUGUCGUCUUUUGACGGCGCUUCGACCGCGACCCCAGGUCAGGCGGGACUACCCGCUGAGUUUAAGCAUAUCAAUAAGCGGAGGA
rnacentral:misc_RNA from 1 species